UACGUAGGGGGCAAGCGUUGUCCGGAAUCCUUGGGCGUAAAGCGCGUGUAGGCGGUUCAGUAAGUCUGCUGUGAAAGUCCAGGGCUCAACCCUGGGAUGCCGGUGGAUACUGCUGGGCUAGAGUACGGAAGAGGCGAGUGGAAUUCCCGGUGUAGCGGUGAAAUGCGCAGAUAUCGGGAGGAACACCAAUUGCGAAGGCAGCUCGCUGGGACGUUACUGACGCUGAGACGCGAAAGCGUGGGGAGCAAACAGG
rnacentral:rRNA from 1 species